GUCCUAGCCCUAAACGAUGGGUACUAAGUAGAGGAAAUUCCGAUAUUUUCUCUGCCGGAGCUAAUGUAUUAAGUACCCCGCCUGGGGAGUAUGGUCGCAAGGCUAAAACUCAAAGGAAUUGACGGGGCUCACACAAGCGGUGGAGCAUGUUGUUCAAUUCGAAGCAACGCGAAGAACCUUACCUGGGUUUGACAUGCUUGGGACCGCCUGCGAAAGCAGGCUUCCUCUUUGAGGCCCUUGCACAGGUGUUGCAUGGCUGUCGU
rnacentral:rRNA from 1 species